GUUAUGUCGUGAUCACUAGGAUGUCCUUGUUCCCUCAUUGCUGGUUUCCCUGUACAUCAGUAUGGUAGGAGUGCAGAUGAUGGAUUUGCCUGAGUAUGCUAUUGGAGUUUAAUUGAAGAACAGAAGUAGUUCUAUAUCUUCCGAUAUAAAUCUCCUCAAGUCACUUGGCAGUUGUGGCGUGUCCAAGGUAAAAAGAAUUUGGAAGCCAUAUUUCGUGCUUUCCUUUUCCGUUACGAAGUUGUGGGCUCUGUUGAUUUUAAUGAGACCAAUGGAUGAUUCAUGGGUACAAUAUCAACAGGUAGAAACUAUACAAGAGUGGUAAUGGUUCAGUUAUUGAUAGAUUUUAAAUGGCUUGUGGGCGUGACAAGCUGAACAAUGCCUCUUGCAUACAUCAGUUAUUUAUCAUAAUUGCUCAGGUAGUAAGUUACAUUCUGACUACGGAUUCUUCAGGUUGCAAGUGUCGCUGGUACCCCUGUUGUAGUAUAUAGCUGUUUUCUCUUUUGUUCUUUCUGUGUU